UACGUAGGGGGCAAGCGUUGUCCGGAUUUAUUGGGCGUAAAGAGCGUGUAGGCGGCCUGACAGGUCUGCUGUGAAAACUCGAGGCUCAACCUCGAGAUGUCGGCGGAAACCGUCUGGCUAGAGUCCGGAAGAGGAGAGUGGAAUUCCUGGUGUAGCGGUGAAAUUCGUAGAUAUUGGGAAGAACACCGGUGGCGAAGGCGGCGCUCUGGACCGAGACUGACGCUGAGGCGCGAAAGCGUGGGGAGCAAACAGG
rnacentral:rRNA from 1 species